rnacentral:rRNA from 1 species
UACGUAGGGUGCGAGCGUUAUUCGGAAUUACUGGGCGUAAAGCGUGCGCAGGCGGCUUGCCAAGUCAGAUGUGAAAGCCCCGGGCUCAACCCGGGAACUGCGUUUGAAACUGGCAGGCUAGAGUUUGGCAGAGGGGGGUGGAAUUCCACGUGUAGCAGUGAAAUGCGUAGAGAUGUGGAGGAACACCGAUGGCGAAGGCAGCCCACUGGGCCAAAACUGACGCUCAGGCACGAAAGCGUGGGGAGCAAACAGG